rnacentral:rRNA from 1 species
ACCUGACUGCUAUCGGAUUGAUACUAAGCCAUGCGAGUCAUUGUAGCAAUACAAGGCAGACGGCUCAGUAACGCGUAGUCAACCUACCCUAUGGACGGGAAUAACCUCGGGAAACUGAGAAUAAUGCCCGAUAGAACAUUAUGCCUGGAAUGGUUUAUGUUCCAAAUGAUUUAUCGCCGUAGGAUGGGACUGCGGCCUAUCAGUUUGUUGGUGAGGUAAUGGCCCACCAAGACUAUUACAGGUACGGGCUCUGAGAGGAGUAGCCCGGAGAUGGGUACUGAGACACGGACCCAGGCCCUAUGGGGCGCAGCAGGCGAGAAAACUUUGCAAUGUGCGAAAGCACGACAAGGUUAAUCCGAGUGGUUUCUGCUAAAGGAACCUUUUGACAGUCCUAGAAACACUGUUGAAUAAGGGGUGGGCAAGUUCUGGUGUCAGCCGCCGCGGUAAAACCAGCACCUCAAGUGGUCAGGAUGAUUAUUGGGCCUAAAGCAUCCGUAGCCGGCUCUGUAAGUUUUCGGUUAAAUCUAUACGCUCAACGUAUAGGCUGCCGGGAAUACUGCAGAGCUAGGGAGUGGGAGAGGUAGACGGUACUCGGUAGGAAGGGGUAAAAUCCUUUGAUCUAUUGAUGACCACCUGUGGCGAAGGCGGUCUACCAGAACACGUCCGACGGUGAGGGAUGAAAGCUGGGGGAGCAAACCGGAUUAGAUACCCGGGUAGUCC